rnacentral:rRNA from 1 species
GACAGAGGGUGCAAACGUUGUUCGGAAUUACUGGGCGUAAAGCGUGUGUAGGCGGCCUUAUAAGUCGGAUGUGAAAGCCCAGGGCUCAACCCUGGAAGUGCACUCGAUACUGUAAGGCUCGAGUACUGGAGAGGUUGGUGGAAUUCCCGGUGUAGAGGUGAAAUUCGUAGAUAUCGAGAGGAACACCGGUGGCGAAGGCGGCCAACUGGACAGAUACUGACGCUGAGACACGAAAGCGUGGGGAGCAAACAGG